GGGGUUGUGGCUCAGAGGUAGAGUACUUUGCCUAGCAUGCAUGAAGAACUGGGUUCGAUCCUCAGUACCACA
rnacentral:tRNA from 1 species